GUUUUUAAGGUAGCUGAGAACAUACGCUGUGCAAAAUCUCCAUUUUGCUGUAUUUUCACCGACUAUAUUUGCUGCAUCCCAGUUGUACUGGGAUGUGGGAAUUUCCCACUUCAAAGAUGUAAAUUUAAACCGGAACAUCCCUCCAGUGGGAAUUAUCUGUCAGGAAGUGGGAGAUUUUAGAAAUCAAGAUGGCUACUCGCCACAACUCACCAGGCGCAGUGGAGCAUGUUGGUGUGACUCGACUCUCAGGCUCUACUGACGGAGGAAAUGGCUGCAGAGAGAAGAGCAGCGAGCUCGGUGCUGCUGGUGGUGUUAAAGGUUAAAGGUCACGCUCACAGAGGCAUUGACAGGCUCCCAGCGGUUCGAAGGCAUAUGAAGAAAAGGAGAGCUGUGUACUGCGGCGAGUGGACAUUCACGGCGAACUGACUGGAUUCAGCUGGCAACAAUUAUUCUCAGGUGCCCUCUCACUGCGCUCAGCCAUCGCAGAAGGGUCAGUGGCAGCUGUAAUUAUUAUACCCUGGCCCUUUGUUCUCGCUGCAAUUUCGGAUCAUUAUUGUUGCUUUCUGUGGAGGAAUUGCUCACACCUCAAUCGUUACGUCCACAU